rnacentral:lncRNA from 1 species
GGGAAAAAGCCGGCUCUAAUACCACAUGUGCUGAAUGGGCUGCUUUUUGAACUAAUGAUUGUCCUUACAGACCAAUAAGGGUCUUCUCGACAUGUUUUGUCCUCAUUCACAUGCUUUAGGAAAACUUUUCAGAAGGUUAUUUAGCAAAUAAUUGCUCCAAGUCAGGCAUGCUUAAAUUUAGAGUUCUUAACUUGUGUUGCUGAAAAGAAAAUGCAUCUUGUUAGUAGAGGUAGAAUUAAUUUAUUUGUUUAAGCUUUCUUCUUGAACUGUACAAUCUGAUACUGCACCAUCUCAAAAUCCCUCGACUAAACAAUCUCACACCGAGCCUUGUUCAUGCCUCAUCAUUUGCCCC